rnacentral:rRNA from 1 species
CACGCCGUAAACGAUGAGUACUAAGUGUCGGAAUAAUUCGGUGCUGUAGUUAACGCAAUAAGUACUCCGCCUGAGUAGUACGUGCGCAAGCAUGAAACUCAAAGGAAUUGACGGGACCCCGCACAAGCGGUGGAUCAUGUUGUUUAAUUCGAUGAUACGCGAAGAACCUUACCAGGCCUUGACAUACUCUGCAAAGCUAUAGAGAUAUAGUGGAGGUUAUCAGAUGUACAGGUGG